UUAUUUCUUGUAAUUGAUUCAGACACAUAGGCUUAUUGCAGCAUAAAUGCGACGCCGAAGCGCCGAAGCACAUGUUGCUUCCACAGGUUUGCAAGGUUGAAGGCCCAGAGGCCAUUCAGUAAUGAUCCCUCCGCAGGUUCACCUACGGAGA
rnacentral:misc_RNA from 1 species